rnacentral:snoRNA from 1 species
ACUCGGGUUGAUAACUAGGCGGUGGUUUCAAUAUUCCUCGACGACCUUUGCCCUUUAAGUAUCCGAGAGAUUGAAUUUUUCCGCGGUCGAUCUUACACAUUUACUUGCCUUUCCAUCCGUGUUUGUACAAUGUUUAUUCGGCCGCAACACCU